rnacentral:rRNA from 1 species
UAGGGAAUCUUCCGCAAUGGGCGAAAGCCUGACGGAGCAACGCCGCGUGAGUGAUGAAGGUCUUCGGAUCGUAAAACUCUGUUAUUAGGGAAGAACAAAUGUGUAAGUAACUAUGCACGUCUUGACGGUACCUAAUCAGAAAGCCACGGCUAACUACGUGCCAGCAGCCGCGGUAAUACGUAGGUGGCAAGCGUUAUCCGGAAUUAUUGGGCGUAAAGCGCGCGUAGGCGGUUUUUUAAGUCUGAUGUGAAAGCCCACGGCUCAACCGUGGAGGGUCAUUUGAAACUGGAAAACUUGAGUGCAGAAGAGGAAAGUGGAAUUCCAUGUGUGGCAGUGAAAUGCGCGGAGAUAUGGAGGAACACCAGUGGCGAAGGCGACUUUCUGGUCUGUAACUGACGCUGAUGUGCGAAAGCGUGGGGAUCAAACAGG